UACGUAGGGGGCAAGCGUUGUCCGGAAUCAUUGGGCGUAAAGCGCGUGUAGGCGGUUCGGUAAGUCUGCUGUGAAAGUCCAGGGCUCAACCCUGGGAUGCCGGUGGAUACUGUCGGGCUAGAGUACGGAAGAGGCGAGUGGAAUUCCCGGUGUAGCGGUGAAAUGCGCAGAUAUCGGGAGGAACACCAAUUGCGAAGGCAGAUCUCUGGGCCGUAACUGACGCUGAGGAGCGAAAGCGUGGGGAGCGAACAGG
rnacentral:rRNA from 1 species